GGGCCGUUAGCUCAUUUGGUAGAGCGCUUCCAUGGCAUGGAAGAGGCGACCGGUUCAAAUCCGGUACGGUCCACCA
rnacentral:tRNA from 1 species